UUCAUCAACAUUAUUAGACACCUAUUUUUCAGACUCCUGUUCUCCCAACCCAGAAAUGGAAUUAUACCAGAGGAUACUCAGCAACCCUGAACAGGAGCUCCUAGUUUACA